rnacentral:rRNA from 1 species
UACGUAGGGGGCAAGCGUUGUCCGGAAUCAUUGGGCGUAAAGAGCGUGUAGGCGGCCCGAUAAGUCCGCUGUGAAAGUCCAGGGCUCAACCCUGGAAUGCCGGUGGAUACUGUCGGGCUCGAAUCCGGAAGAGGUGAGUGGAAUUCCUGGUGUAGCGGUGAAAUGCGCAGAUAUCGUUUGGAACGCCAAUGGUGAAAACAGGCAACUGGGGAUGUGCUGACGCUGAGACACGAAAGCCAGGGGAGCAAACGGG